rnacentral:SRP_RNA from 1 species
AGCUGGGUUCUAUGCAAAGCGGCUUUUGAACCCCGUCAGGAUCGGAAGAUAGCAGCGGUAAAAAAGAUUUCUUGUGCCGUAGAGUGCCUGGCUGUA